AUUGAACGCUGGCGGCAGGCCUAACACAUGAUAGUCGAGCGGAGCGGCAGACGGGCGAUUCAUGCCUAGGAAUCGGCCUGGUAGUGGACGAUAACGUUCGGAAACGGGCGCUUAUACCGCAUACUAUCGGUUGAGCCUAGGUCGGAUUAGCUUGUUGGUGGGGUAAAGGCCUACCAAGGCGACGAUCCGUAACUGGUCUGAGAGGAUGAUCAGUCCCACUGGAACUGAGACACGGUCCAGACUCCUACGGGAGGCAGCAGUGGGGAAUAUUGGACAAUGGGCGAAAGCCUGAUCCAGCCAUGCCGCGUGUGUGAAGAAGGUCUUCGGAUUGUAAAGCACUUUAAGUUGGGAGGCGUUACCAACAGAAUAAGCACCGGCUAACUUCGUGCCAGCAGCCGCGGUAAUUC
rnacentral:rRNA from 1 species